AGAACUAAGGGCUGAACCAUGGGCAAGACUUUUGAGUGAUUAACUUCUCAAAUUCAAACUGGGCUUCACUGUAACCUGGAGACGAAACCAUUUGAAAGGAGAAAUUAUGGGGAGGAGGAAGAGUGAAUGAAGACAAAGAGAUGUGCGAUGAGAUGCUGAGGAGUGCACCCAGUGAAUAAUCCUGCCCAAUUUAUAGUCAUUGGCAGUGGAUAUACAUGAAAGAAAGAUGAAGGUAAUGACAAGACAAUUCAAAACAACUGCUUCAGUCUUCUAAUUUACUUUGCACCAAGAGCUAUAACCAGAAAUAACUCCCCCUGCCCCCCCCGGCCCCGCUACUUUUAUUCAACAUAGUACUGGAAGUCCUAGCCACAGCACUCAGAUAAGACAAAGAAAUAAAAGGCAUCCAGACUGGUGCUGAACGUAUCACAGGAGCAAAAAAUAUGAAGCCCCUCUUCCUGUGGAGCUUCUAUUCUUGGGGAAAGUGACAGAUAACAACCACCACCACAACUGCAGUGACAAACAGCUCAACAAAUCAAUAUAUAAUAAAUACAAAGACAAAUAAAACAGGGAGAGCCAGUACAAUGUGAUGAGUGCCAUUUCAGAUCAGGUGUCAAGAACAGCAGACACUUGAAAGAAGGUCUCAGGAAGGACAAGUUUGAGAGUCACUGAAAGAAGGUUUAUCUUUUGCUGAGCUAUAUUUACACCACACUAAUCUAACAAGACAAUCAGAAAAUAAUAUUACA